CAAAAUCUGAGACACAGCUGGAUGUCUUUUUUUCUGCUUUUAAGAGUCCUAGUUUGAGAUGAUAUGCAGAUCAUCAUAGUGAUGUUUAAGAGUCUAGUCGUAUUAUGGGGCAGCAGUUAAAGAAGAAGGAAGGACAGCUGUUGAAGUAGUGGUUCGCCCUCUUGCCCAGCACCCCCAGAAUCCUCCAUCUAAAUCUUUGGUCUUGAGCUACUGUGCCUUUGCCAAGAGAUCAGGAGUUUAUUGCAGUGGUGUGUCCUGCGUCUCUGACACCUGUUACAUCAACAAAAACUGCCUGUGAUGCUGGAGAGAAGAAACGUUCACAAGAUAUCCUGAAAUGAGACGGCCAAAUUAAUAUGUAUGUUGGGACAUGCACAGGGUGCUGAGCGGGCUUUGGCCUGGGACCCCCAGAGGUUUGUUAUCUCCAGCAUCCUUGAUGGUUGCAAGUUUGUCUUUCUCCCUGGCCAUUUGACUAUGACUAUAUUUAUUAAAAAGGAAAAGUCAUCUCCAUUUGCUUCUUAUU